GACUUUCCAAUUUUUACCACAGGCUGUGUUCUUUACACUGACUGUAUAGAAAGAGGAGGUAUGGUAAAUGUACCCCCUAUACACCUCAACCCAGGCCCUUUGCCUGAUCUGUAUUGUGAAUUGGGGGACAAAA